GUGAGGAAUAUUGGUCAAUGGGCGGGAGCCUGAACCAGCCAAGUCGCGUGAAGGAAGAAGGAUCUAUGGUUCGUAAACUUCUUUUGCAGGGGAAUAAAGUGCGGGACGUGUCCUGUUUUGUAUGUACCCUGAGAAUAAGGAUCGGCUAACUCCGUGCCAGCAGCCGCGGUAAUACGGAGGAUCCGAGCGUUAUCCGGAUUUAUUGGGUUUAAAGGGUGCGUAGGUGGUUUGAUAAGUCAGCGGUGAAAGUUUGCAGCUUAACUGUAAAAAUGCCGUUGAAACUGUCGGACUUGAGUGUAAAGGAGGUAGGCGGAAUGCGUGGUGUAGCGGUGAAAUGCAUAGAUAUCACGCAGAACUCCGAUUGCGAAGGCAGCUUACUAAGCUACAACUGACACUGAAGCACGAAAGCGUGGGGAUCAAACAGGAUUAGAAACCCCUGUAGUCC
rnacentral:rRNA from 1 species